UAGUCAUAUGCUUGUCUCAAAGAUUAAGCCAUGCAUGUCUAAGUAUAAACACGUUUGUACUGUGAAACUGCAGAUGGCUCAUUAUAUCAGUUAUAGUUUAUUUGACGACUAAAAUACUACACGGAUAACUGUAGUAAUUCUAGAGCUAAAACGUGCUAAAAAUCUCGACUCUAGCGGGAAGAGAUGUACUUAUUAGAUAAAAACCAGCAGCGUGUUGGCUUCGGCUGGCAUGUUAAAAUUGGUGAAUCAUAAUAAUUAUUCGGAUCGCAUGACUUUAUGUCGGCGAUAUUUCAUUCAAAUUUCUGACCUAUCAUGCUUUCGAUGGUAGGGCAUUGGCCUACCAUGGCUAUGACAGGUAACGGAGAAUUGGGGUUCGAUUCCGGAGAGGUAGCCUGAGAAACGACUACCACAUCCACGAAAGGCAGCAUGCGC
rnacentral:rRNA from 1 species